rnacentral:rRNA from 1 species
AUUGAACGCUGGCGGCAUGCUUUACACAUGCAAGUCGAACGGCAGCAUGGGUGCUUGCACCUGAUGGCGAGUGGCGAACGGGUGAGUAAUGUAUCGGAACAUAUCCGCAAGUGGGGGAUAACGUAGCGAAAGUUACGCUAAUACCGCAUAUUCCCUGAGGGGGAAAGGAGGGGAUUCGCAAGGACCUUUCGCUUACGGAGUGGCCGAUAUCAGAUUAGCUAGUUGGUGGGGUAAAGGCCUACCAAGGCGACGAUCUGUAGCGGGUCUGAGAGGAUGAUCCGCCACACUGGGACUGAGACACGGCCCAGACUCCUACGGGAGGCAGCAGUGGGGAAUUUUGGACAAUGGGGGCAACCCUGAUCCAGCCAUGCCGCGCGAGUGAAGAAGGCCUUCGGGUUGUAAAGCUCUUUCAGCUGGAAAAAAAUCGCAUCACUUAAUACGUGGUGUGGAUGAUGGUACCAGCAGAAGAAGCACCGGCUAACUACGUGCCAGCAGCCGCCGUAA